AUUGAACGCUGGCGGCACGCUUAACACAUGCAAGUCGAGCGGUAACAGCGGGAGUAGCAAUACUCCCGGCUGACGAGCGGCGGACGGGUGAGUAAUGCGUAGGAACCUGCCCUGUGGAGCGGGACAACCAAGGGAAACCUUGGCUAAUACCGCAUGUAACCCGAGAGGGGAAGGCUGCCCGCAAGGGUGGCGCCACGGGAGGGGCCUGCGUCCGAUUAGCUAGUUGGUGGGGUAAAGGCCCACCAAGGCGAUGAUCGGUAACUGGUCUGAGAGGACGACCAGUCACACUGGGACUGAGACACGGCCCAGACUCCUGCGGGAGGCAGCAGUGGGGAAUAUUGGACAAUGGGGGCAACCCUGAUCCAGCGAUGCCGCGUGAGUGAAGAAGGCCCUCGGGUCGUAAAGCUCUUUGGUCCGGGAAGAAGUGGCAGAGUUUAAGAGACAGUGUCAUUGACGGUACCGGAGGAACAAGCACCGGCAAACUCUGUGCCAGCAGCCGCGGUAAUAC
rnacentral:rRNA from 1 species